AAGACUUUAAGUUAAAUAAACUAAAAACCUUCAAAGUUUUAAAUAGGUAUGUCCUAAGUCUUG
rnacentral:tRNA from 1 species